rnacentral:rRNA from 1 species
GUGUCAGCAGCCGCGGUAAUACGGAGGGUGCAAGCGUUGUUCGGAUUGAUUGGGCGUAAAGCGCACGUAGGCGGGUUUAUAAGUCGAAUGUGAAAGCCCUGGGCUUAACCUAGGAAUUGCAUCCGAAACUGUAAAUCUUGAAUACUCGAGGGGUUGGUGGAAUUCUUGGUGUAGGAGUGAAAUCCGUAGAUAUCAAGAGGAAUAUCGGAGGCGAAGGCGGCCAACUGGCGAUGUAUUGACGCUGAGGUGCGAAAGCGUGGGGAGCAAACAGGAUUAGAUACCCCAGUAGUCC